UGGCUGUCGUCAGCUCGUGUUGUGAGAUGUUGGGUUAAGUCCCGCAACGAGCGCAACCCUCGUCGUUAGUUACCAGCAUUUAGUUGGGGACUCUAACGAGACUGCCGAGCUAUAAGCCGGAGGAAGGUGGGGAUGACGUCAAGUCCUCAUGGCCUUUAUGUCCAGGGCUACACACGUGCUACAAUGGGAAGUACAAAACGCUGCUAACUCGCAAGAGUGUGCUAAUCGUAAAAA
rnacentral:rRNA from 1 species